GAUGAACGCUGGCGACGUGCUUAACACAUGCAAGUCGAACGAUGAAAGCGGGAGCUUGCUCCUGCUGGAUUAGUGGCGAACGGGUGAGUAACACGUGAGCAAUCUGCCCCGAACUCUGGGAUAAGCGUUGGAAACGACGUCUAAUACCGGAUACGACGCGCGAAGGCAUCUUCUGCGCGUGGAAAGAACUUCGGUUCGGGAUGAGCUCGCGGCCUAUCAGCUAGUUGGUGAGGUAACGGCCCACCAAGGCGACGACGGGUAGCCGGCCUGAGAGGGUGACCCGCCACACUGGGACUGAGACACGGCCCAGACUCCUACGGGAGGCAGCAGUGGGGAAUAUUGCACAAUGGGCGCAAGCCUGAUGCAGCAACGCCGCGUGAGGGACGACGGCCUUCGGGUUGUAAACCUCUUUUAGUAGGGAAGAAGCGAAAGUGACGGUACCUGCAGAAAAAGCACCGGCUAACUACGUGCCAGCCGCCGCCGUAAGAC
rnacentral:rRNA from 1 species